CCGGGGGAGGGGAGGACGGGCAUAGGGGGGCCCCCGGGGACGACCCCCGCCCCGCGCUCCGGAGCGGCCGAAGCGCACAGUCGCCGGGCGCGAUCGCGCCUACCCUUCCCGGACCCGGUGUCAGUCCGACUGGGCCGUGGAGGAGUGGCCGCGGCGGGGCUGUGGGUCUCGGGCGCCCGAGGGGAGCCAAGUGCGCGGCAGGGGGCGGGCGGGCCACUGGGAAGGUCAGGUCCGCGCGGACCACGCCGCCAGACCGAGUUUCCGGUCACCUCCGGGUGUGAGUGGCGGGACCCGAGAGGACUCGUGAGGACUCUGCCAUUUUGGGGUUUGAGCGGGAUCCAGCCAAGGCGCAACGGUUGGCUUCGGGACCACUUCUGCUAAUUUCACCCCGGCUCAAGGAAGUGAUUUUCGGGGGUUGUGGUUCCCCAUCCUCUCCUCCCUCCUUUCUUUCUUUCUGCGGGCACAAAAGACCCAUUACUCAUUGAGCUGGUUGGUCGGUUAGUUUGGAGAAGUCGGAUCGCAGAGGUUUAUUUAGCCUCGCUCCUUAUUUGGGAGCCGGAAUGUGUGAUUUCACUUCCCUGGGCCUCCCGAGCGCGGCCGUGCAGCCUUGGGGCGCGCCGGCCCUGGAGGUGCCAGGCUGGAGAUUCCGCGGGGACACCGCCCCCCGGGCGCGGGGGAGGGACUGUUUUGAUCCGAGAGCAGCCCCCCCCCCACCUUCAGUGCCUAUGAGGCUCCAGAUGGGAGGCCAGCAGGCUCUGGCGCGAUGUCUGCUGUUUCCAUAGCUCCAUUGAUCAUUGUGAACCCGGUCUCUAAACCACGGCUUGGCUCGGUGCUGAUUCCGCAAAUCGGAGAUGGCCACUUAAGCCCUGGACAUAGGCGAUUGGUGGACAGUAGGAGGGAGCGUUAUCCUUGAGCUGGGGAAACCCAACCUCGGUUUUUUUUUUUCUUUUUUAAGGGGGUGUGGUGGUUGGGGGUGGGGAGGGGAUGAGGAUUUAAGUGAGAAUACCUAUUUCAGAAGUUAAACAGAAUGGACUUGGAGGUCUGAUGUGAUGGGUGGGUCCCUAGUGCAGUGUGAGCCAGUGUUCAGGGUCACUAAAAAGGUUUUCCCCUCAGAUUUCAGAUCAAACCACAUCUCUAAAGGUGACACAUCAGGCCUGUUUCCCCUGGGGCGUCUUAAUGAUUGGAGGAGAAGAAAAAUACUUCCUGUGUUAUAUUUUUCUCUUCCCCCUGGCUGCCCACCCCAACUAGCUGUAUCUCAGCUAUUAAUACAAAACUCAGAUAGGUGUGAUGGGUGGAACUGUUGGAAUAUAUAAUUAGAUGUAAUAGAACUCUGGUACUUUGCAGUUGCAGAGGGCAAGCAGGUCCAAUUUCCAGAUUUUAAGGCCUCUAAAAUUAUUUCCUUGCUGCUUGCAUCCUCCUUUUGGGGGUGGGGGGUGGGGAGCUUUCAGCUAGCCCCAACAUUGUCAGAUUCUUUGGUUUUUACUGUAAGCUGUUGCUGUGGGCUUUUUGGUUGCUGUGCCUUAGACCACUUUUUCCAUACUCGUAAGUGGGGACAGGGAGGAGGUGUGGUGGUUUAACUGUGGCUCUGACCUUGGGGAGUGGAGUUGAGUGAAGACUGUUUGACCACAGUUAACCUGUACUGGUGAGGAAGUGACAGACGUUCUUUCUGGGAGAGUUUUCUAUCCCUCUGAGAGGCCAUCUGCCUUCACCCAUCAGCAGAUAGCUGUUCAUUCCCUUAGAUAGUUGGACUAUUAUAAUAAAGACUUCAGAACAAAAGCUCUCAACUUCUUUUUAUUCUAUUUAAUGACACAGAAAACCAAACGCUAAAAUGUUUUAGGGUGGCAAUUCAGAUUUCUCUUGUAAUUCAGAUUUCUGUUAUUGUAAUGAAUAGGAGAGAGAUUUGGAUGUUUCCCUUCCGUAAAUAGUUUCCAAAGGAAAAAUCCAGCAGCAUUUUAAAUAACACUCAUAAUUCAUCCAUCUUAGGUUAGAAGUGGGUGAAGAUUGAAGUCAGUCUGUUUUGACAGGCAGUCUGCUCCCAGAUCUUAUAAGUUGACUCAACUGUUAAAUUGUAGAUUCCCACACAUCUUUGUGUAAAAACUUAAUAAUAGAGGAAGAAAGAAGGUAUGAGGCAUUCGGAGACCGACAGCAGUGUCAACAGCACUUCCAUAUCCAAAUAUUGGCUAAGACAUAAUUACAGCUUGUGGGGGGAAUCUGGUCCAAAGAAUCCUGUUUGAGACAUACACCAAAGAGAUUUCUAGAUCGUGAAUCUUGAUGAACUUAACUUUAGGUGCUGAGUAGUGAAGUGAUUUUCAAAACCAGGAGUGUUUUGAUUAUAAAACAAGAGGGAUGGACGUUGUGGGCUAGGACGGAUUGCCCCAUUGGGAAGGUGCCUGUAGAAAAAGGGAUCAGACCGGUACUCGACAUUGUGUGUUAGGCCAUUCCUGGGGAUUUGGGGCAGGAGCUGUAAGGCUGGAGCAGGGCUUCUGCUGUUUCACAGCUCUGAGAGUGGAUGGGAGGUGGUGGCUACCAUGUCCUGCUCCUUUUGUGGUCUGGUGACCUCUUAGCCCUCUUAAGUGAAAUCAGUGCUUAAAAAAAAAAAAAAAAGUCCCAACUCGCGCUGCUGCUUUUCUACCUCCACCCCAGAGAGCCGACAUUUUAGUGCUUUUAGUGGGUGCUGUGACCUCACCUCACCAUCUAUCCUGGCUGCUCUUUCUAUGUUCUGAGUGUUACUCACACUUGGUCAGAGUCGGAAGGGACUUCAGAGGUCAUCUCAUCUAACCCCCUUGUCUUCCAGAUGAGAAAACCAAGACCCAGAGCAAAAACUCACUGGAGGUAAUAGAGCCAUGCACUUGGCAGAGGCAGGAUUAGAACCCAGGACACCUGACUCCCUGUCUCAGGCCUUUUCCCACUUCAUAACUGCAAUGAUGUCAGCAGGCUCAGACCUGGGGUUGGCGGCUGCUCCAGAGCCCCUUAGGCCUGAGGCACUACUCUCUCACCCCCUUGAUUGUUGGCGAGGGGGUGCCGGGUGGAUAUUUAUUGCUUCCCCAGCAAUAACCCCUGAAGUUGAAGGGGCAGCGUCUGUACAACUCAGCAGCUUCAUGAGUUUUAAAUCGGGUAAGAAGCUUUUCUAAAAAACAAAAAUUUAUACCAUCUCCACCCCUGUUAGGGAGUGUUUGAUAGACAUCUUACUUUUUUUUUUGUAUAAGAACGUAGGAAUUCUGUUAACUGUUUCUUCGGUAAGGACACCUAGUCUCAACCCACUUGGGUGAUAAUUGGUUGUAUUCCCCAUGGGGUUGGUUCCUCAGCUGCUUCCUGCAUCUCUGUGUCAUACGGACUCUUGGGUAUUAGCUGAACAAAUUUAAUUAAAGCUGGCACUGUUGUCCCUCUCCGUUGCAUGACUCUGAUUAGUUGAAGCAUAUUAUUGCUUUACAAAAUACAGAAUGUUGUCAUACCUUAUCUCCGUUUAUCUUUCCAUUGCGUGGAUUAGAGAAAACAAUGUCCUGUGAUGUCUUCUCCUUUCCUUUCUCCAGUGGUUCUCCCUCCCCAGGUCACUUUGUGUCACUAUGGUGUGGCUUCCUUUGGUGUUCUGAAGGGGAGAUAAUUGGAACCUCCCACGCUGCUUCUGGACGCAGAGGGAGACACAGGAGCUCCCCCAGCCCCACAGGACAGGCAGCGGCCUCUCGGGCACAUCUCCUGCUGAAUACCUCCUGGGAAGCAAGAUUGGUAGCAUGGCAGCCUGCCGGCGGUGUCCUGAAUGCAGUUUGCUGGAUGGAAUCACAUGGGGGGGGGGAAGUUUCAUUGACUAAAUCGGUCUCUUUUCUUGUGAAGAAAAAGAGAGCCUGAGGUGGAGGAGUGGCAGGAGAGGGGGAGAGAAUCUCAAACAGAUUCCAGGCCCAGCAUGGAGCCCGAGGCGGAACUUAAUCUCAGGACCCUGAGAUCAGGACCUGAGCUGAAAUCAAGUCAGACACUUAACUAACUGAGCCACCCAGGUGCCCCACAUCAGCCUCUUUUAUAUCUACUGAGGUUCUAGGUUGUUAAUGGUUCGCUGAGCAUACUAAGAAUGCUUUAUUGUAUGGAGGAUACAGACAUAUAAAGUGCCUUAAAAUUUAGGGGGUCAAAAAACCAACUUGGAGAAGGCAUUAACAGAUGUAGUCUGUGUUGUCCAGUAUGGCAGCCAAUAUCCAUUCAUGGCUGUUUAAACUAAAAUUAAUUAAUCUAACUUAAAUUAAAAAUCAGCUAGCCACCUUUCAAGUAUUCAGUAGCUACACAUGGCUACUGGCUGCUGAGCUGGAUAGUGCGGAAGAAUAUACUCGUCCUGAUAGAAGGUUCUGCAUGGUGUUGGUCUAGAGGUGAAAUCGUGUGGCUGGGGGUAGAAGAAUUUUGGAAGGGAAAUCUGUGAGGACCGUAGGAGCCAGAGACGGCUCAUUGCUGGGCCUCUGAAGUAUAAGCAGAUCUGUAGGAGGGGCUGGUGACACUGGCCCUGAGAGGAGAACAGGAGAUCAGGUGGGCAAGGAGCCAGUAGGGUUGGUGGCCCAGAAUUGAACCAAACCUAGCUUUAUAUUAAAAGUAAUUUUUACAGUAUUUGAGGGGCACGAAGUAAACUAACAGGCUGUUGUAAAGAAGGGUGGCAAAUCACCGAGGUUCAGACUGGGGAGGCCUAGUUUCUGGUUUCAGAGACCCCCCUCCCUCUUGUGGGGCCUUGGCCCCUGUUUACUGCAGCCGGACUCUUGGCAUCCACUGAGGCAGGAUCAGAGUUGGAUCACCUCAUGGUCCUUUUUCACCUGUGAAUUCUGGGCUUCGAUCGAGCUUGAAAAUAAUCUCUAGCUAAGAUGUGGGAUCAGUGGCUGAUGGAAGGGAGGAGAAAAGGAGCCCCAGGCCUCAGGACCAGAUAUUGGUGGAUACCUGGGAAAUGAAGAGGUUCCCUUUCAGCAGGAUGAAGGUAUUGGUGCCCAUGAUUAAGAUGUUUUGACUGCUUGGGACCAGAGGAGUUGACCCAUCAUCAGUUGGUGAGUCUCCUUAAGAAGCAGGUGUCAGGAUUCAGGGAGAAGCUUGGAGGAGUCAAGCUUCAGGACUACAGACUUAAUCCCUGGCCAGAUCCUGGGGUUGGAGGAGGGGCAAAAGCUCCUGUCACCCGUGAAUCCCGGGGAUGUGAGUGUCAGCCACAGUGGGGAAGGACAGAGCAUUGACAUCUGUAUUGGAGUCCUUCUGUGAUUCCCAAGAGGCCCUCCCAUGCUCUGAUUCAGGACUGUCCCUGGUGGUUUGAGGUCCUGCUUCCUUUCUUCUGAUUCAGGCCCUUCCACGGGCCAUGUGGCAUCUCCUUUCUUCUCUCUUCCUUGGACUGCACUCUUCCAGGUGCUUCAGUGUACUAGGAGGGAGGUGGGCAGGCAGGGCAGGGUUGUUCUUUGUGUUCGAAGGGGCUGCGCCUGCUCUUGGUAAUGAUGUAAGGCCAGGUGGUAAAGAGACCCAUACCUCAUUGCACCUUAGAGCUGGUGACACUCCCUGAUUGUCUUUCUUGACUCCUUCCAUCUCACUGGAGUGGGAGGCUAGGCCAGUCACUAAAGGGUCAGCGCUAUGUCCAAGGUCUUACCAUGUGUCUUCGUCAGGCACACAGUUCCCUGGAACCUCCUCUUAGGCUGGGUUCCUUUGGUUUUUUUUUGGUUGCUAGAGAGAUGGUGGCCCUUGCAGUGCAAAACUGAGCUCACCUAACUGGUCACUAGGCUUUUUCUACAUAGGCCACCUCAUAAAUGGGGACAUUGGUAAAGAGAAGGGGCCACGCCACUGGGGAGCUUGAUGUACACCAGCUGUGUAACCCAAAUCAGAUUUUGUACCUUUUCUCAUCAUUAGAGGGAUACAGAUAUUUUGCAUUUUAAAGUAUAUAUGGAUACGAAUUUUUAUCUUAUUAUUGGUUAAGUGCCAGAGAAGAAAGCAAAAAAAGGGGUCCAGUCUAUGUGCCCUGCUAACGGGUCAUGUGACCUUGAGUAGGUCAGUUAAAUUUUCCAGGCUUUGGUGCAUAUGUCAGAGGUCAGGCUACCAGUUGCUCCUGAGCACUGGUAUUGGGGAGUGGUGGAAGGCUGGGCCGGGGAAAGAGGCCAAGAGCUGUCAGGAUGGCUUGCUGACCUCCGUGUCUGACCAUCAGCAGCACCUGGGCCAGCAUGGAUGACCUUUUGAUAGGCUUGAUGCUAGGCUCUAGGGGAGCUGCGUCCAGUUAAUUACUAAUCAUCACUGACCCGCUGCUCCUUCUCUUGUGCGAAGACUUGGAAAGUGUUCCAGCUAGUGCACCAGCAGAGAGGAUGGGCUGUGUAACUUGAGGGUGGGGUUGGUGUGGGGAUCCAUUCUUACCCUGAAGUCAGAAGAAUCUUAGUAUAGUGGUGUCUGAAGGUGGAGAUGAGGAAUUCUUCAUGUUCUCCAUCUGAAACUUUGUUCCCAUUUGAGCUGUGGGGCCACACAUGGCUGCUGUGACUGGUUGUUAAGGCUGUGUCCUGCACGGGACACCCAGCUGAGGGACGGAGUGAGGGCUGCAAUCUAACCCACUGUCCACUAGGCAGGCUUUGGGUUGGCUUGUGGCUGGGCUCAUCCAAGUGGGUUUCUAAUUCACCGGAGAUGUGGAAUGGACUGGGAGCUGUUCAGAGGUGAGAGGUGGGGACUGUUCCCAAAGCUGAUGAAGAAAUUAGGAUUUACAUCCAGGCACCACUCACCCGCCCUUCCCCAAGGCUGUGUGAGACUGGAUAUCUGAAGUCCAAAGAAGCAAGAGGAGAAAGGAAUGCCCGGAACUGUCUGUUCUCUCUCCUUUUCUUCCUGUUCACUUAAUGUUGAAGCAGUAGUUUCAGCCCUGAAGCUUUGGACUAUGGGGUCCUGUGUGCCAGGCCAUCGUCUGUGGUUGGAGGAAGAAGACACGCAGUGGAAAGGGGAUGAGCCCUCUGGCAGAGCAGGGCUGGGGGUCUUUAUUCUCUGAUCCAGUAAAUAUCUCUGUGUGCUAGCCGGCGGGUGGGAGAGGCUGGGACGGCGGGUGGGAGAGGCUGGGACGGGGCUCCGAGGUCAAACCCGGUCUGUAACUCUUGUUCCCCUCCAAGACGGGCCAAGCUCUGUGUUUAUUCUGCUAGGAACCUGAGCUGCCCAGAAGGGUCAUAUGAAAGGGCAUCUUACUCUUGAGGGACGUCCCAGGCAUCUCCGUGGCCAGUGUCCAUGGAGCACUUAUCUGGAAGGUGAGGAGUGGUGGCUAAAGGCAGAAACUGGCCACUGUUCGAAGCCUUUUCUGUCUCAGAGAAGAGGAGGGGAACACAGGGGGCUUUACUGUUGAUGCCUUCUCUCUGCUUCACUUGCGUCCACUGAGUCUUCUGAACCGAAAGCAGAGGCGAAGGGGACCUACUGCCAAACCCCUGCCGGCUCCUCCACCUUCACACCCCUCUGGGGCGCCUUGCCCCCCAGCCCUCGGUGGCAGGUGAUGGCGUCCAUCACUUCGCUGCCAUUGUGAUGAUCCAUAGUGUCACUAGGCUCCCAGCCUACACAGGGGACAUUUGCAACCUGGCCUCCCGCCCAGGGCCUGGAACUGUUACUCAGCCCCUCUGUCCCAACAGCUAAAAAUAAACCUGCCAGUGCUUCAGUCUCCCCUCACAGCCCGGCCCUGCCGUCUGCCCCAGGUCUUGCAGCCACACUGCGGACCUGAGUCUCUCUCCACGCACUUGGUCUCCCCACGUGCCCCCUUCUAUUGUAGCUGGGAGUGAGCCAUGGCUGCUGCUGCACCAGGUGUCAUAUCUCCCUCCUAGCGCUCAGGAAAGCAAGUUGCCCCCAACCACCAGACAAGCCCCGGCUAUAAGAGAAGAGGCAGUGCAUACACAGGCUCCGUGGGGGUGCCUGGCUUCUUCUCCGUCAGGGGAAGGGUUAGGGGGAGGGUGCGAAAGUUCAUCAGAGUCCAUGAGACUUUCCCCUGUGUUUCCUCCUGCUCUGGCUUCCUCCAGGCUGCACUGGCAAGCAGGCCUCCCCGCCAGAAGGUGUGUGGGGAUGAGUGGGAGAGCCCCGUGUGAGGCUGUCCCAGGCCCUCACCCCGACUGCCCUGUGACUGAGCAGGCUACCUGCCCUAGGACUCCUGCCCUGUUGCCAAGCUAAAUUCUCCCCCUCUGCAGUGUGGGGCUUCGGGUUACCACGCUCAGAAGCAUAACCUCAUCCUGUUGGCUUCCAAGGCUCACUAGGCCCUGGCUCUCGGGCCUCCUUCCUGAGUCAGGCCAGGGCCCCUCUGGCCUUUCCAGCUUCUCCACCUGCAGUGGGUCACAGAGAACUUGGGUCUCUUAUGUCUCCUGACGGUCGGGGCAGGGUUAUUGCUACCUACGUGCGCUGAAGUCCAUUGAGGUGGUCUCUUCCCCUACUGCCUAGGGAUCCUGGGCAGGUGAGGGAAAGGGGCUCAGGUAGCUGGGGUACCUGUGUAACCGAUAGAUACUGGGCAGAGUAUUUCUUUUAGCUCGACUUUGGCAUUCUCUUCUUUCUGAUUUAUCUAAUCCUUGGACAGGUGUUGGUACUAACCAUGCAAACAAAGGUUCUGCGUCUUUUUUCUGAGCUUGGGGUUUGUUUGGGAGAAGAGGUGUGUGAGGGAGAGUAAUAGGAGCCGAGGUAGGUCUUGGGGGGCCCUCUGGCUUCACCUAGAGUUGCAUACUGGACCAUGUCUCUGUGGACUGCUUUCUCCUGUCUGUCCCCCUGGGGCCUCAUUUUCUCUGCAGGGAGAGAUUUAUCUGCCAAGGCCCAUUGGCUUCUGGAGGGAGGAGUUGGGUGUAAAUUGCUAAGAGUUUAUUUUUAACUCUGACAGAAGGAGCUCCUGUCCUUGGAGUAACCGUACCCUCCCUCUUCUCUGUCCCAGGCCUCCUUCUCUGACUUCUGUAAUUCUUAGAGGAAGGCUUGUAGAUUCUAAAGGCCAGCCUUCAGUGGAGCUGGGGAAUUGAAGCCUCUCUAAGUGGAGAACCUGCAGAUUGCUUGGCAGGCCUGACUUCUCUAGAGCUCAGAGGACCGUGGGGGGCAGGGAAGUGGAGAGGGAGCCCUGGACAUUGGAGGCUGCAGGUGUGGAACUUAGAGCAUCCUAGGAAUGCAGGUGGACUGGUGGGGAGGCCACAGGGGCCUUGGAACUUGGAGCACCCUGUCAACUCUCCUGUGCUGGCGAUGGUAGCAGGGGUCAUCUUGUGCCCUUCGCCAUGCCUCUGUCCUUACAGGCACCCAGAUCUCUGAAGGGUAGAAGGAAAUGGGGACAGAAUGAGUGUGUAUAGUAGCCUGCUUUGUAAAUGCUUAUGUUUAUAGAAACACUGAAGUUUUGUUAUUUCCUCUGACUGUUGGGCUCCCAAGCGUCCCAUCCUUUCCACUGGAGCCUGUGGUAUUCUCCGUGGCUUCAUACCUUCCGUGUCCCCCUACCCUGGCAGGGUGCUGGUCACCUGGGCUCCUAGCCUGGGGGAAGAGAGGCAUGAGCACCCCUUAGCCUGUGUCUGGACCCUUCUGAUCUCAUGGACUUGUUUUGGUUACCUUGCCUUAGAUUUUUAAAAAGCACAUAAACUGGAGUUUGAGGUAUAAUUAGAGAAAGAAGGAAUGGAGAGCAGGGGGGUGGGGUGGGGGCCAGGAGAGACACAUGGCUGCCUCUGAGAACCUCAGCUGGGGAAGGAAGGGCUUGCCCCCUCAGGGCCUUGGGGGAUUACUUUGCCUAAAGCCCAGCUCUGUUCAUGUAGCUUCCCAGGUUAAACCCUUCAGUGGGUUCACUUUGCCUGUAGAAUAUAGGAGAUUUCCAGAUCCUUCCUUGAUCUGACCCCAAUCUGGUUUUUGUUUUUCUGAAUACUUGCUAUGUUUCAGCUUAAGUGGCUUACGUUUGCUGUUUCCUGAAUAGGACCCUGUCCCGUCCUCCCCACCCCCCUGCACCUUUGCCCAUGCAUGGUGACAGUAUGCCCUCAUUAAAAAAAAAAAUCAUAGAGUAUUUUGGCAUCAUGCAUUGUACCUAGCUGCCUAAUAAAGGUAUGGUAAUUGAA